rnacentral:rRNA from 1 species
AGCGGCGAACGGGUGAGUAAUGCAUCGGAACGUGUCCCGGAGUGGGGGAUAACCCGGCGAAAGCCGGACUAAUACCGCAUAUGCUCUGAGGAGGAAAGUGGGGGACCUGAGAGGGCCUCAUGCUUUGGGAGCGGCCGAUGUCCGAUUAGCUAGUUGGUGGGGUAAAGGCUUACCAAGGCGACGAUCGGUAGCUGGUCUGAGAGGAUGAUCAGCCACACUGGGACUGAGACACGGCCCAGACUCCUACGGGAGGCAGCAGUGGGGAAUUUUGGACAAUGGGGGCAACCCUGAUCCAGCCAUGCCGCGUGCGGGAAGAAGGCCUUCGGGUUGUAAACCGCUUUUAGCUGGGAAGAAAAGACUCGGGCUAACACUCCGGGUUCUUGACGGUACCGGCGGAAUAAGCACCGGCUAACUACGUGCCAGCAGCCGCGGUAAUACGUAGGGUGCGAGCGUUAAUCGGAAUUACUGGGCGUAAAGCGUGCGCAGGCGGUUCGUUAAGUUUGUCGUGAAAGCCCCGGGCUCAACCUGGGAAUGGCGAUGAAAACUGGCGAGCUGGAGUGUGGCAGAGGGGGGUGGAAUUCCAGGUGUAGCAGUGAAAUGCGUAGAGAUCUGGAGGAACACCGAUGGCGAAGGCAGCCCCCUGGGCUGACACUGACGCUCAGGCACGAAAGCGUGGGGAGCAAACAGGAUUAGAUACCCU